rnacentral:sRNA from 1 species
CGGGCCAGUUAGUGAAAGAGAUGUGAUUGAAACCACUACCUUUUGCAUAUGACUUUAUUCUUAUUAGAAAUGAGCAACUCCAUCCUCUUUCCCCAUGCACUUUCUUUUUUUCAAUCAGAGUAAAAAUGAUGUACUGAAUUAUGCAAAAAGGUGGAUCUCAGAAUUUUAUAAGGAGUUUUAGGAAAAAGCUUAUGAAAGAUUUCUAAAAUUGCAACUAGGAAUAAGAUUGUAGGCCAUUUUGGGAAGUUAAGUAGGUUAAUUUGUAGUUCCAUUGGUUUAAUGAUAUUUUUUGUUGUUGAGUCUGUGCAUCUUGAUUUAUUAACUUCUUAGGAAUAUUUUAGCAUUUGGUGAUUUAACCAAGAAAUAGUAAUUUUUGGUAAGCCUAAAAUACAACCCAACUGAAAUUUUGCUUUUAUGAUGUGGAGGUGGGUGGGGGGAGUUAGUUGCAAGUACACCAAGAGCAUUCUCACUUGACAAUUUCAUUAACUGUGAUCUUGGACAAAUCACUUAUUCCCAUGUACCCACUGAAAAUUAAAGGAUUUAGAGUAUAAGCUUUGAAACUCCUUCCUGUGCUGAUGUGCUGGAUAACUAAUUUUGUAGUGGUAGAAAGCCUUGGUAAUGGCUUUUAAAGGUGUUUGUAGUAUGAAUUUCUUUUCUGUCCUGGAAUUCUGAGAUGAGCUGCUGAAUGAUGAUAUCCCACUAACUGAGCAGUCAGUAGUUGGUCCUUUGGUUGCAUAUGAUGCGAUAAUUGUUUCAAGACGGGACUGAUGGCAGCUACUAAAGUAAAUUCUUACUAGUAAACUAAGUUGAGUCUAUACUAAAAUAUGAAUAACUUUAUUUUAGUACCAAACGAUUCCCUGGUUAUGAUUCUGAAAGCAAGGAAUUUAAUGCAGAAGUACACCGAAAGCACAUCAUGGGCCAGAAUGUUGCAGAUUACAUGCGCUACUUAAUGGAAGAAGAUGAAGAUGCUUACAAGAAACAGUUCUCUCAAUACAUAAAGAACAGCGUAACUCCAGACAUGAUGGAGGAGAUGUAUAAGAAAGCUCAUGCUGCUAUACGAGAGAAUCCAGUCUAUGAAAAGAAGCCCAAGAAAGAAGUUAAAAAGAAGAGGUGGAACCGUCCCAAAAUGUCCCUUGCUCAGAAGAAGGAUCGGGUAGCUCAAAAGAAGGCAAGCUUCCUCAGAGCUCAGGAGCGGGCUGCUGAGAGC